rnacentral:rRNA from 1 species
AUUGAACGCUGGCGGCAGGCCUAACACAUGCAAGUCGAGCGGAUGAAGGGAGCUUGCUCCUGGAUUCAGCGGCGGACGGGUGAGUAAUGCCUAGGAAUCUGCCUGGUAGUGGGGGAUAACGUCCGGAAACGGGCGCUAAUACCGCAUACGUCCUGAGGGAGAAAGUGGGGGAUCUUCGGACCUCACGCUAUCAGAUGAGCCUAGGUCGGAUUAGCUAGUUGGUGGGGUAAAGGCCUACCAAGGCGACGAUCCGUAACUGGUCUGAGAGGAUGAUCAGUCACACUGGAACUGAGACACGGUCCAGACUCCUGCGGGAGGCAGCAGUGGGGAAUAUUGGACAAUGGGCGAAAGCCUGAUCCAGCCAUGCCGUGUGUGUGAAGAAGGUCUUCGGAUUGUAAAGCACUUUAAGUUGGGAGGAAGGGCAGUAAGUUAAUACCUUGCUGUUUUGACGUGACCAACAGAAUAAGCACCGGCUAACUUCGU